GCGAGACGGGUUGUCCGGUCCCGGAGCGCGACCGAUAAACUGGUCGCGGAACGUCGCGGGGCGCAGCCCCCUGCCGGUCCGUCAAUGAUCAGCCAGCAGCCGCUGCAACCCCAGGGAG
rfam:Streptomyces pristinaespiralis ATCC 25486 chromosome, whole genome shotgun sequence.